rnacentral:rRNA from 1 species
CCUACGGGAGGCAGCAGUGAGGAAUAUUGGACAAUGGGCGCAAGCCUGAUCCAGCCAUGCCGCGUGCAGGAAGAAGCAUCUAUGGUGUGUAAACUGCUUUUGUACAGGAAGAAACACUCCCUCGUGAGGGAGCUUGACGGUACUGUAAGAAUAAGGACCGGCUAACUCCGUGCCAGCAGCCGCGGUAAUACGGAGGGUCCGAGCGUUAUCCGGAAUCAUUGGGUUUAAAGGGUCCGUAGGCGGUUUAAUAAGUCAGUGGUGAAAUCUGGUCGCUCAACGAUCAAACGGCCAUUGAUACUGUUAGACUUGAAUUAUAAGGAAGUAACUAGAAUAUGUAGUGUAGCGGUGAAAUGCUUAGAUAUUACAUGGAAUACCAAUUGCGAAGGCAGGUUACUACUUAUGGAUUGACGCUGAUGGACGAAAGCGUGGGGAGCGAACAGGAUUAGAUACCCUGGUAGUCCACGCCGUAAACGAUGGAUACUAGCUGUUCGGAGCAAUCUGAGUGGCUAAGCGAAAGUGAUAAGUAUCCCACCUGGGGAGUAACGUUCGCAAGAAUGAAACUUCAAAAUUGAGUUAGAGGCGNGAGAGNGCGACGGACGACACGAGGGAGGAGG